rnacentral:misc_RNA from 1 species
GAUGAAGAACGCAGCGAAAUGCGAUAACUAAUGUGAAUUGCAGAAUUCCGAGAAUCAUCGAGUCUUUGAACGCACAUUGCGCCCCCUGGUAUUCCGGGGGGCAUGCCUGUCCGAGCGUCAUUGCUGCCCAUCAAGCACGGCUUGUGUGUUGGGUCCUCGUCCCCCCCGGGGGACGUGCCCGAAAGGCAGCGGCGGCACCGCGUCCGGUCCUCGAGCGUAUGGGGCUUUGUCACCCGCUCUGCAGGCCCGGCCGGCGCUGGCCGACGCGAAAGCAACCAUUUUUUCUCCAGGUUGACCUCGGAUCAGGUAGGGAUACCCGCUGAACUUAAGCAUAUCAAUAAGCGGAGGA